GAGAGAGAGAGAGAGAGAGAAUGACCAAACAAACCUACCAUUAAAACAAAAAUUGACAUGGGUUUGGUCACCAUAACUAAUGCCAUGAAAUAUCACAAGUUUCUAUCAAUACAGACAAUUCUGUUCUCUUAAGUUUCAACUGAUAGCAUGUUCUAUUCCUUGCUGGACAAAACAAGUUCACAUUUUCCAGAAUAAAAACAAAAUAAAAAUGAAAAUCGAGGCCCACCUUGUCACCGAACGACGUUAAUUCAUUUUCCAUUUACGUAAGGGAUUUGUUAGGAAAACAGAAGAAAGAAGAAAACCCUUAAAUAUCUGCAUAACAUACGCCAAGGGAAGUCCUUUUCUGUUAGAUAAACACAGAGCCAAUGCCAUCAAAGGCAGAGACAACACCAUACAAUUGCAUAAUUUGCAAUUCCCUAGCAAGAAAAGAGAAACAAACUAGAUAGCAAAAUGCCAUAUUUAUUUAUAAAAGUAGGCUUUUCUACAAUUCAUGGGCAGAGCCAGGGACAACGCCAUAUAACAAACAGUCAAACAGAUACCAUAUAUUUGAUAUAAAAGAUUCAUGAAAAGAGUUACUCGUAACGGAAUAAUGAAGAAACCAAAUGAAUUGAAAGAAAAACAAAGUAAAUCAUCAUAAAAACAAACACUGAAUGAAUUCAAAAUAUUGUGCAUGGCUCAUCAUAAACAUACAAUUGAAGUCAAGGCAUAAGCCUUAAAUGCCAAACUAAGCAAGACCCAGAUGAAGAAAUGUGACCUAGAUGAACAGAUGAACUUAGAAAGAGAUAAAAGACGAGAAAAGAGAGUAAAGAAUAAAAC
rnacentral:misc_RNA from 1 species